UUAAAUGGCUGCAGUAUAUUGACUGUACAAAGGUAGCAUAAUCAUUAGUUUUUUAAUUGGAAACUGGAAUGAAGGGUUGGACGAGAAAAUUACUGUCUCUGUUUUAAUAAUUUAGAAUUUUAUUAUUAAGUUAAAAAGCUUAAUUGAAUUUAAAAGACGAGAAGACCCUAUAGAGUUUUAUAAUAAAUUAUUUAAAUUAAAAUUUUAUUUUAUUAAUAUAAAUAUAAAAUUAUUUUAUUGGGGUGAUAAAAAAAUUUAUUAAACUUUUUUUUAAUUAAAUCAUUAAUUUAUGAAUAUUUGAUCCAAAUUUUUAUUGAUUAAAAGAUUAAAUUACCUUAGGGAUAACAGCGUAAUUUUUUUAUAGAGUUCAAAUCGAUAAAGAAGUUUGCGACCUCGAUGUUGGAUUAAAGUUUAUUUUUGGUGUAGUAGCUAAAAAAAUUAGGUCUGUUCGACCUUUAAAAUUUUACAUGAUCUGAGUUUAAACCGGUGUAAGCCAGGUUGGUUUCUAUCUUUAAAUAAAAAUAAUUUUUUAGUACGAAAGGACCAAAAAUUAGUUAUUUAUUAAUUUUUUUUUAUGAAUAAAAUUAA
rnacentral:rRNA from 1 species